CGUGUGCUAAAGAGAUCAUCCCUCCGGAACCAGCUUGACACAUUUCUAUCAUUAAUUAACCAACAGGCAGCGAGCAGUUCUUUCUUCAGGCUGUGCCCAGACAGCCCUGAAGAGAUCAUCUCACCUGCCCUCCUUCUCCAAAGAUGGAGCCAAGGGCCACAACCACCACUCUGCUACCUGCCAUGGUCCAGGUCCCACCAGUGGCCCAGCCCUCCCGGGGGGCUGACCGGCCUGCAGUUUCUUGGCAGUCCUCUGGAGGCACGGCAACUUCUGACAAGCCCUUUGACCCAAGCUGACACAUCUUGGCUGUCAGUUUCACAACUUUACCUUUAAAUCCCACUGACACUUGGGUGGACACCUCUUUGGUUCAAUGAUUUAUGUCGCUACUAAGUAAAAACUGCCUGUGAGUUUAA